AAUAAAAGGGCUAUGUGAUAGGGAAUGAAUGUUCAGAAGUGCGGUAAAGUUUCUUCUUUUUUUUUAAUUAUAAAGCUGAUAAAGCAAAGUUAUUCCCUUUUCUAUAAAUAUGAUACAUUAAUGUAUCAUAAAAACUCACAUAACAUCUCAUAGAAUAUCACAACUUUAUUGUAUGCCUUCUCUUCUCUUCCAUUUUUCUUCAUUUGGUAAACACAUUCAGAAGUUCUCCAACAGAAUUCUCUCAUCAUAGGUACAGAUCCGACGACCUCUGGAUAUUUAUCCCUGUUGUUCUUUCUUCGCUAGCAUCAUCGGAGAUUUGAGGACCUAAUAGUUGAUCAACUUUUGCCGGACCAUCACAAAAGGUUGCAGUAAAGAUGGAUUCGAAUGAAUAAGUUGUAUGCAAAUGGAACCACUUCAUAUGUGGGAGGUUUCUUGUCCCAACCUGGAAGGGCGAUAUAUCCAUGCAGCAAACAGCAUGAGUGCUCAAUGCUCUCACCAACUUCCAACUGCCUACUUCAGCAAACUUAAGGCAUUGAUGGUGAGUAGUUGUGGAGAAUUGAGAAACUUGAUGUCUCCAUCAGUGGCCAGAGGUCUUCUGAAUCUUCUAAAACUAUGGAUAGAAGACUGCCAAUCAAUGAAAGAAGUAAUUACAGAAGAGGAAAAACAAGGAGAUGAAAUCAUGGCUAAUGAGCCCUUAUUUCCCCGUUGGUCGAGCUGAACCUCAAGAAUCUACCAGAGCUGGGGCAUUUCAUUCUGACUAAGCAUGCUCUUAAAUUUCCGUUCCUCAUAGAAGUGCAGAUUUAUAAAUGCCCUAAAAUGAAGACGUUUGUCCAACAGGGUUCUGUGAGUACACCGAAACUCAAAGUGUCCUUACCGAUUCUCAACACGCGCGGUUAUGAAAGUGAGACGAUAGUAGAUGAUCUGAAUGAAUGGAUACAUCAGAGGAUCAAUUCUAAGGAGGAAGACAACAACAACAUACCCGGUGUAUUCCCACAUAGAGGGAUCUUGCACACAGACCAUACCCCUACCUCAGAGGUAGAGAGACUGUUUCGGUUAGACCCUCGGCAAGAAAAAAUCCAAUCUAGGAACCUCGUGAAAGACAUAUUAUCUGGCUCUAGUUACUCAUCCAAAUCCAAAUCCUCAUAUGGGAAGUUCAAAAUUUCUAAUAAGAGUAUUUCAAUACUCACGAGAUUGAGUUGCCAAACCAUACAAAUUCGGGAAGUUGGGGAAAGCAAAACAUUACACAUUCCGUAAAAAUAAGCAUGAAAUGAUUUGUGUUUUAGUUU